CACAGACGGCGCCAAAUUGUUUGACUCAAAAGAUAUCAGAAUCUUUUUAAAUAAAUCAAUUAAAGAAAAUAAAGAGGUAAAUCUUAGCUAAGCAUAAUAAUCUCUAGAACCAAAGAUAGACCAGGAGAAUGUAGAGAAUAAGAGCCCUUUAUCUCUUGGAAAAGAAGACUUAAAUAAUAACCCAGUCAAUCCUCUAUGUAAACGAGUUUACAACAAGUAUUAUAAGUUAGGGAAGAUAUAUCCAGCGCCCUUUAAAAGGCUGUUUUACGCUCUAUAUAUGUAAGGGACCAAAACCCUUCUAAGCUUUAAAAGACAAGUUAUAGGGAAUAUUCGAAAGAAUAUUCCUAAGGUCCCCUAAUCGGCCUGCUCUACUGCAAGAGUCGUACAGCCUCCUGUUCGCCUUAAAGUCGUCCUUUGCAGGAUGUCGAACUUCAAGGAUCUCGUCAUUCGUCGUACUCGUCAGCGGUCAUGGUUGUUCAAAUUUGAACCCAUACAAUACUAUCAGUGAUAAACCUAUCAUAUAGAUUUAACAGUAAUUAGCUUAAACUUCGUGAGAAACAUAAUGCUAUGAUAAAAUUAGUCAUUAGACAUUCAUAAACAUUACAACAAAAACAAUACUCUUAUUUGGGCUAGGCUGGAGGCCUAAUACAUACACAUGAAGAUAAGUAGCUAGCUAACAAAUUAAACACACACAACAAUAUUUAUUGAAAAUUCAAUAAGAACUAAGUACAGAUAGCUGCAUAAACAUAAUUUGCCUUGCCCUUGAGAUUUCUCUUUAAAUUAUCAUUUCCUUGAGCUCAUUAAGUGCUGUCUCAAAGGGAAUUGGAAAUGCCAAAGGAUAGAAGUUGCCCUUUCCAACCAAAAAACCACCACCAAGAAAAUCAAUGGCCAUUUUCCUUACCGUCUCCGGUGAGAGGCGACCAUCUUUUCCGACCACCAAUUUAGUGGGUGGCAAAAAAGGAUGGCCGCCCACCAAACAAAGGAGGCCUCACAUGAAAGGGGGAGAGAGGGUUUGUUUCGAAAGGUUUGGCUCAGUUUUUAUAAGGCUGGGCUUGCUUCUUUUGUCGUUGGAUAUGAGGGCAACAAAUGAAGACUUUGAUCUCUCCUCCACUCAAAUACGGAUUUAAAAUUUAAAUUUGG
rnacentral:lncRNA from 1 species